rnacentral:misc_RNA from 1 species
GAACUGCGAUAAGUAAUGUGAAUUGCAGAAUUCAGUGAAUCAUCGAGUCUUUGAACGCACAUUGCGCCCCCUGGCAUUCCGGGGGGCAUGCCUGUCCGAGCGUCAUUGCUGCCCUCAAGCCCGGCUUGUGUGUUGGGUCGUCGUCCCCCCCGGGGGACGGGCCCGAAAGGCAGCGGCGGCACCGUGUCCGGUCCUCGAGCGUAUGGGGCUUUGUCACCCGCUCGAUUAGGGCCGGCCGGGCGCCAGCCGGCGUCUCCAGCCUUAUUUUUCUCAGGUUGACCUCGGAUCAGGUAGGGAUACCCGCUGAACUUAAGC